UAGGGAAUCUUCCGCAAUGGGCGAAAGCCUGACGGAGCGACGCCGCGUGAGGGAGGAAGGCCUUCGGGUCGUAAACCUCUGUUGUCAGGGACGAACCCGUGCGGUUCGAAGAGGGCCGCGCGCUGACGGUACCUGACGAGGAAGCCCCGGCUAACUACGUGCCAGCAGCCGCGGUAAAACGUAGGGGGCGAGCGUUGUCCGGAAUUACUGGGCGUAAAGCGCGCGUAGGCGGCCUCUUAAGUCCGGUGUGAAAGCCCGCGGCUCAACCGCGGGAGGCCACUGGAAACUGGGAGGCUUGAGUGCAGGAGAGGGGAGUGGAAUUCCCGGUGUAGCGGUGAAAUGCGUAGAGAUCGGGAGGAACACCAGUGGCGAAGGCGGCUCCCUGGCCUGUACCUGACGCUGAGGCGCGAAAGCGUGGGGAGCAAACA
rnacentral:rRNA from 1 species